CCUACGGGUGGCUGCAGUGGGGAAUAUUGCACAAUGGGCGCAAGCCUGAUGCAGCCAUGCCGCGUGUGUGAAGAAGGCCUUCGGGUUGUAAAGCACUUUCAGCGGGGAGGAAGGCGUUAAGGUUAAUAACCUUGGCGAUUGACGUUACCCGUAGAAGAAGCACCGGCUAACUCCGUGCCAGCAGCCGCGGUAAUACGGAGGGUGCAAGCGUUAAUCGGAAUUACUGGGCGUAAAGCGCACGCAGGCGGUCUGUCAAGUCGGAUGUGAAAUCCCCGGGCUCAACCUGGGAACUGCAUUCGAAACUGGCAGGCUAGAGUCUUGUAGAGGGGGGUAGAAUUCCAGGUGUAGCGGUGAAAUGCGUAGAGAUCUGGAGGGAUACCGGUGGCGAAGGCGGCCCCCUGGACAAAGACUGACGCUCAGGUGCGAAAGCGUGGGGAGCAAACAGGAUUAGAUACCCCUGUAGUC
rnacentral:rRNA from 1 species